rnacentral:rRNA from 1 species
GAUGAACGCUGGCGGCGUGCUUAACACAUGCAAGUCGAACGGAAAGGCCCAAGCUUGCUUGGGUACUCGAGUGGCGAACGGGUGAGUAACACGUGGGUGAUCUGCCCUGCACUUCGGGAUAAGCCUGGGAAACUGGGUCUAAUACCGGAUAGGACCACAUUUUGGAUGGUGUGGUGGAAAGUUUUUCGGUGUGGGAUGAGCUUGCGGCCUAUCAGCUUGUUGGUGGGGUAAUGGCCUACCAAGGCGUCGACGGGUAGCCGGCCUGAGAGGGUGUACGGCCACAUUGGGACUGAGAUACGGCCCAGACUCCUACGGGAGGCAGCAGUGGGGAAUAUUGCACAAUGGGCGCAAGCCUGAUGCAGCGACGCCGCGUGGGGGAUGACGGCCUUCGGGUUGUAAACUCCUUUCGCUAGGGACGAAGCGUUUUUGUGACGGUACCUGGAGAAGAAGCACCGGCUAACUACGUG